rnacentral:rRNA from 1 species
GGACCAAACUGUCUCGCGACGUUCUGAACCCAGCUCACGUGGGUGUUCGAAGCUUGAGAGGAUCUGUCCCUAGUACGAGAGGACCG